GACAAUGUGGUGUAGUGGUUUGAGUGCUGGACUAUGACUCUGGAGAAAAGGGUUCAAAUCCCUACUUAGUCA